CUGUUCUGAGGCAGCAGCAGCACAUAGACCAGUGAGUCUCCCCUCAUCCUGUCGGGCUCGCCUCACCUUGCACAGCCCUGAAAUUGAAGAAGACGUUUUCCACCUGGUGGCAGACCUGAAACAUGCUUCUCUCCAGCCUUCUGAAGGUGGCCAUGGCUUCAUGCUGGCUAGGAUCCAGCAUUGCCCAGAAGGUAACUCAAGAGCAACCACCAAUGUUAGCGCAGGAGAAGGAGGCUGUGACCCUGAACUGCACAUACGACACCAGUGAUCCAACUUAUAGUUUAUUCUGGUACAAGCAGCCCAGCAGUGGGGCGAUGACUUUCCUAAUUCGUCAGGACACUUAUAACCAGCAAAACGCCAAAGAAGGUCGCUACUCAUUGAAUUUCCAGAAGGCAAGCAAAUCCAUCAAACUCGUCAUCUCAGCCUCACAGCUGGAGGACUCUGCAGUGUAUUUCUGUGCACUGAGUGAGCCCACAGUGCGAGGUGUGUUGGAGGGAGGUGUACCAAAACCCAGGGCUCUGCUUGGUCCAUCCACCUGCUGUAGGGACCAGGCCAGGGUAUUGCGAUCACAGACAGGAAGUGGCGAGGGCUGUGGCAGCACAGGUGUAGGGUUAGAGGGAAGACACUCAUUCUAA